rnacentral:rRNA from 1 species
CGUACCCACAUUUACUUGGAUAACUGUGGUAAUUCUAGAGCUAAUACAUGCAAACAGAGUUCCGACCGGAGACGGGAGGAAUGCUUUUAUUAGAUCAAAACCAAUCGGCGGCGGGRGCGUUCGCGUGCCCGUUCGCCGCUCAACCUGGUGACUCUGAAUAACUUUCGGCUGAUCGCACGGUCCAGCACCGGCGACGCAUCUUUCAAAUGUCUGCCUUAUCAACUGUCGAUGGUAGGUUCUGCGCCUACCAUGGUCGUAACGGGUAACGGGGAAUCAGGGUUCGAUUCCGGAGAGGGAGCCUGAGAAACGGCUACCACAUCCAAGGAAGGCAGCAGGCGCGCAAAUUACCCACUCCCGGCACGGGGAGGUAGUGACAAAAAAUAACGAUACGGGACUCAUCCGAGGCCCCGU